CGUGUUUUACUGCCUGGUUUGUCUGGGGCUUAAAACCGAUAGCUUUAUGCAGGAGGGCAGGAGGCUGUAUGUUGGUUUUGGAAAUACCUGUUUGUUAAUAGAAAACUACAGAAUGCAUGUGCGCUUAGAAUUCGGAUAUAGUCACAUUUGGCAAUAUCCAAGAUUAUUGUUAUCUAAUAGAUUUUUCAUGUUUCUUUCUUUUUGCAGAAAUCAUUUACCUUUCAAUCUUGGAAGGCCCUAAGCUGAAGGAGAGCAUCAAUUGUCAUGAGAGAUAAGCAAUAUCUAUUAGACAUGCAUACUAUCAGGCUAACGCAAACCACUCGGGAAUGAAGUAUACUUACCGUAACUUUCUAUGUGUUGACUUGAGUUUUCCUAUUAGUAAAAGAAACAUGCCAUUUUUUUGCGGUUCAUGGAUUCAUGCUCAAUGUUGAAUUAUUAUCUGAUCUACAAAAGCAUGCCUUACUGCUGCUCAUGGUCACAUGAUUUAUAAUUUAUAACUACAAUUAUUUAAAUCAGUAUCUUGCAUGAAGUCUUGACAUCUAGCUUGAUCAAAGAUUCCACUGUGUGCUUAUUUCUCCAUCAUAUCGCACAAUGAAUAAUAUCAGUAGAUAAAUAUCUCCUUUUUAUGCAAUGAAUUUCAUGAAAUAAAACAGCGUCGAUCAUUGUCUCCGACGUAAUCUUAAGUGCACAGGCAUGUCUUACUGUCACUGCUUUCUUGUAGUAUUAGUGUCGUCUUUGGCUAUUUCCUUUCUUGAAUUUUCCAAUGACAGCAUACAUGCCUAAACAUAUUCAAAGUUGUUGAUUAUUUUGUUGCAAAUAUAGUAUUUAGUAAUUUGACGUGAACCCUUGAAGGUCCAAUUAAGUCUAUUUGACUAGGAAGCUAGGUGAUAUGUGCUCAAAAGAACCUACCCCUGUUAUGCACCAGUUUUGUACCGUAGUGUUGUUUAUGCUGUUAUGCUAUAUAUCUUGUAUUAAUUGAAUUUUGAAGAUAACGAUUAAGGAAUUCAUCUACAAUAGGAACUUACUUCCCAACAAGGAAAGUCCAAUGAUUGGGCAACAACAUGUGGAAGGAUAAUUACUGGAUACUUUUUUUAGCGAACAACUGCGGAGCAAAUGAUUUGCUGUCUCAAAACAUCCAAAUAUGCAGUGUCAGCAAUACUGUUUGAUAGCUUGGGGUAUGAUAAUGCGGCAAACGGCCAACGGCUGGCUAGCUGUGUGGGAGAGCAAGAGAUGUCUCGAGAAACGUCUCACUACAGUGGGAAACCGAGCGGGAAGGGGAGGGUGUGACAGGGAAAAGGAAAUUUGUGUUGCGCCCGCGGGUUGGAGAUAACAAAUGGUGGAUAGUCCGAACAAUGACAUUUCUUCCCCACAUAUUAUCUGGAUAUGGGUAAGUCCGGACUAUCCAGGCGGUUGAAUUUUGGGGAGCUCGUUGGGCACCGGACGUAUGAGGGAGAAAUGAGCUUCGACUUUGAAAACGACUUUAAUAAUUUAUUUGAUUCGUUUAUGUGCAUUGUAGCCCGUAGCAACGCACGGGCAUUGUACUAGUUCUGAUAAA